GGAAGAAUGGCAGAGUCAGGUUUAAUGCACCGGUUUUGAAAAUCGGCGAGGCCUUAAGGCUUCCACAGGUUCGAAUCCUGUUUCUUCCGCCA
rnacentral:tRNA from 1 species